UAAUACCUAUAGGUUACAGAUGCUGGAAUGCUCUGUAAUCAAAAGUUCCGGCGCCCUAGGAUGGAUCUGCGGCCGAUUAGGUUGUUGUUGGGGUAAUGGCCCAACAAGCCAGUAAUCGGUACGGGUUGUGGGAGCAAGAGCCCGGAGUUGGAUUCUGAGACACGAAUCCAGGCCCUACGGGGCGCAGCAGGCGCGAAAACUUUACAAUGCGGGCAACCGUGAUAAGGGAACCUCGAGUGCCUGUAAAUGCAGGCUGUUCAGAUGCCUAAAACACAUCUGGAGAAAGGGCCGGGCAAGACCGGUGCCAGCCGCCACGGUAAUACCGGCGGCUCGAGUGGUGGCCACUUUUAUUGGGCUUAAAGCGUUCGUAGCUGGGUUGUUAAGUCUCUUGGGAAAUCUGGCAGCUUAACCGUCAGGCGUCUAAGGGAUACUGGCAAUCUUGGAACCGGGAGAGGUGAGGGGUACUUCGGGGGUAGGAGUGAAAUCCUGUAAUCCUCGAGGGACCACCUGUGGCGAAGGCGCCUCAACAGAACGGCUUCGACAGUGAGGGACCGAAAGCUGGCGGAGCAAAACGGAUUAGAUACCCGGGUAGUCCCAGACGGUAACUAUGCGCGUUACGUGUAU
rnacentral:rRNA from 1 species